rnacentral:rRNA from 1 species
GCUUGUCUCAAAGAUUAAGCCAUGCAUGUCUAAGUAUAAACUGCUUAUACUGUGAAACUGCGAAUGGCUCAUUAAAUCAGUUAUAGUUUAUUUGAUGGUACCUCUACUCGGAUAACCGUAGUAAUUCUAGAGCUAAUACAUGCGUCAAGCCCCGACUUCGGAAGGGGUGCAUUUAUUAGAUUCAAACCAUCAGUCCUUCACGGGACUUUUGAUGGCGAGUCAUAAUAACUGAGCGAAUCGAAUGACCUUGUGUCGUCGAUGCUUCAUUCAAAUUUCUGCCCUAUCAGCUUUCGAUGGUAGGAUCUUGGCCUACCAUGGCUAUAACGGGUAACGGGGAAUUAGGGUUCGGUUCCGGAGAGGGAGCUUGAGAAAUGGCUACCACAUCUAAGGAAGGCAGCAGG